rnacentral:rRNA from 1 species
AUACGGAAGGUCCGGGCGUUAUCCGGAUUUAUUGGGUUUAAAGGGAGCGCAGGCGGAGAUGCAAGCGUGACGUCAAAUUUCGGGGCUCAACCCCGUCUCGCGUCGCGAACUGCGUCCCUUGGUUGCGGGAAGGGGAGGCGGAACUCGUGGUGUAGCGGUGCAAUGCAUAGAUAUCACGAAGAACUCCGAUCGCGAAGGCAGCCUUCCGGCCCGUCAACGACGCUCAUGCUCGAAGGUGCGGGUAUCAAACAGGAUUAGAUACCCUGGUAGUCCGCACAGUAAACGAUGGACACCCGCGGUUUGGCCUGUAUGGCUGAGCCGCCAAGCGAAAGCGUUAAGUGUCCCACCUGGGGAGUACGCCGGCAACGGUGAAACUCAAAGGAAUUGACGGGG